rnacentral:rRNA from 1 species
AGCAGCCGCGGUAAUUCCAGCUCCAAUAGCGUAUAUUAAAGUUGUUGCAGUUAAAAAGCUCGUAGUUGAAUUUCGGGGUCAGUAGGUUGGUCAUGCCACUGGUGUGUACUGGUCUCACUGAUUCCUCCUUCCUGAUGAACUGUAAUGCCAUUAAUUUGGUGUUGCAGGGAAUCUGGACUGUUACUUUGAAAAAAUUAGAGUGUUUAAAGCAGGCUAACGCCUGAAUACAUUAGCAUGGAAUAAUGAAAUAGGACGUUCGAUCCUAUUUUGUUGGUUUCUAGGAUUGACGUAAUGAUUAAUAGGGAUAGUUGGGGGCAUUAGUAUUCAAUUGUCAGAGGUGAAAUUCUUGGAUUUAUUGAAGACUAACUACUGCGAAAGCAUUUGCCAAGGAUGUUUUCAUUAAUCAAGAACGAAAGUUAGGGGAGUCGAAGACGAUCAGAUACCGUCGUA